rnacentral:rRNA from 1 species
GAUCCUGGCUCAGGAUGAACGCUAGCUACAGGCUUAACACAUGCAAGUCGAGGGGCAGCAUGGUCUUAGCUUGCUAAGGCCGAUGGCGACCGGCGCACGGGUGAGUAACGCGUAUCCAACCUGCCUUACACUCUUGGACAGCCUUCUGAAAGGGAGAUUAAUACAAGAUGUUAUCAUGAGUAAGCAUUUUCGCAUNUAAGUUACGGUGUAGA